rnacentral:rRNA from 1 species
GAUGAACGCUGGCGGCGUGCCUAAUACAUGCAAGUCGAGCGAACAGACGAGUAGCUUGCUCCUCUGACGUUAGCGGCGGACGGGUGAGUAACACGUGGAUAACCUACCUAUAAGACUGGGAUAACUUCGGGAAACCGGAGCUAAUACCGGAUAAUAUAUUGAACCGCAUGGUUCAAUAGUGAAAGACGGUUUUGCUGUCACUUAUAGAUGGAUCCGCGCCGCAUUAGCUAGUUGGUAAGGUAACGGCUUACCAAGGCAACGAUGCGUAGCCGACCUGAGAGGGUGGUCGGCCACACGGGAACUGAGACACGCUCCAGACUCCUACGGGAGGCAGCAGUAGGGAAUCUUCCGCAAUGGGCGAAAGCCUGACGGAGCAACGCCGCGUGAGUGAUGAAGGUCUUCGGAUCGUAAAACCCUGUUAUUAGGGAAGAACAAAUGUGUAAGUAACUAUGCACGUCGUGACGGUACCUAAUCAGAAAGCCACGGCUAACUACGUG